rnacentral:lncRNA from 1 species
ACGAAAUUCUGCACCAACAGUGAUGUAGACACUACAAGGGUCUUUCUUCAAGCUUGGUCAAUAGAGUAUGUCAAGAUCUUAGUGAGCUUGUUAUGCUAUCCACAAGAUUUACUAUAGAAAUUGAUAUGAUAUUGACUAAGUACAUAAAUGAUGCUUAUGGCAUAUUUGAAUAGUGUUGCUUUGUUAUGCUAUCCACAAGAGCAACAUUGUUUACGUAUGACC